GAGAAAUAGCUACCACUUCUACGGAGGGCAGCAGGCGCGCAAAUUGCCCAAUGUCAAAAAAAAACGAUGAGGCAGCGAAAAGAAAUAGAGCCGACAGUGCAUUUUGUAUUGUCGUUUUCAAUGGGGGAUAUUUAAACCCAUCCAAAAUCGAGUAACAAUUGGAGGACAAGUCUGGUGCCAGCACCCGCGGUAAUUCCAGCUCCAAAAGCGUAUAUUAAUGCUGUUGCUGUUAAAGGGUUCGA
rnacentral:rRNA from 1 species